rnacentral:tRNA from 1 species
GCCUUCGUGGUGUAACGGUUAGCACAUUCGGCUCGUAUUCGAGAGAUCUAGGCUCGAGUCCCUGAGAGGGCA